CCGUAGGUGAACCUGCGGAAGGAUCAUUAUUGAAUACGUUUGGUUCUGAUGCUGGCUCUUCACUGAGCAUGUGCUCGAUCCAUAACUAUUUAUCUUCUCUUGUGCACCUUUUGUAGUCUUUCAGAGCAAGUGAUAACUCUCGCAGCAAUGCGGUUUGGGGGACUUGGGCGUGAGCCCUUCCCCUGCGUUUGCUUCUUUGGAGGGCUAUGUUUUCAUAUACACUAUAAAGUUACAGAAUGUCUUUUAAAGAUUGUGCUAGUCGCAGUCAUUAAACCUAUACAACUUUCAGCAACGGAUCUCUUGGCUCUC
rnacentral:misc_RNA from 1 species